CCCUUAGAUGUCCGGGGCCGCACGCGCGCUACACUGAAGGAAUCAGCGUGGCUUUCUCCCUGACCCGAAAGGGUUGGGAAACCCGUUGAAUCUCCUUCGUGAUAGGGAUUGGGGCUUGAAAUUGUUCCCCAUGAACGAGGAAUUCCCAGUAAACGCGAGUCAUAAGCUCGCGUUGAUUACGUCCCUGCCCUUUGUACACACCGCCCGUCGCUACUACCGAUUGAACGGUUUAGUGAGGGCCUCGGAUUGGUCUCGGCCCGCUCUUUACCGGGCGGCGCCGUUGGUCGAGAAGACGCUCGAACUUGAUCGUUUAGAGGAAGUAAAAGUCGUAACA
rnacentral:rRNA from 1 species